AACGCUGGCGGCGUGCCUAAUACAGGCAAGUCGAGCGAGCUUGCCUAGAUGAAUUUGGUGCUUGCACCAUAUGAAACUAGAUACAAGCGAGCGGCGGACGGGUGAGUAACACGUGGGUAACCUGCCCAAGAGACUGGGAUAACACCUGGAAACAGAUGCUAAUACCGGAUAACAACACUAGACGCAUGUCUAGAGUUUAAAAGAUGGUUCUGCUAUCACUCUUGGAUGGACCUGCGGUGCAUUAGCUAGUUGGUAAGGCAACGGCUUACCAAGGCAAUGAUGCAUAGCCGAGUUGAGAGACUGAUCGGCCACAUUGGGACUGAGACACGGCCCAAACUCCUACGGGAGGCAGCAGUAGGGAAUCUUCCACAAUGGACGCAAGUCUGAUGGAGCAACGCCGCGUGAGUGAAGAAGGGUUUCGGCUCGUAAAGCUCUGUUGGUAGUGAAGAAAGAUAGAGGUAGUAACUGGCCUUUAUUUGACGGUAAUUACUUAGAAAGUCACGGCUAACUACGUGCCAGCAGCCGCGGUAAUACGUAGGUGGCAAGCGUUGUCCGGAUUUAUUGGGCGUAAAGCGAGUGCAGGCGGUUCAAUAAGUCUGAUGUGAAAGCCUUCGGCUCAACCGGAGAAUUGCAUCAGAAACUGUUGAACUUGAAUGCAGAAGAGGAGAGUGGAACUCC
rnacentral:rRNA from 1 species